UACAUAGGGGGCAAGCGUUAUCCGGAUUUAUUGGGUUUAAAGGGAGCGUAGGCCGCAUGUCAAGCGUGCUGUGAAAUGUCUGGGCUCAACCCGGGCCUUGCAGCGCGAACUGGCGUGCUUGAGUCCGCGGAAAGCAGGCGGAAUUCGUCGUGUAGCGGUGAAAUGCUUAGAUAUGACGAAGAACCCCGAUUGCGAAGGCAGCUUGCUGCAGCGGAACUGACGCUGAUGCUCGAAAGCGCGGGUAUCGAACA
rnacentral:rRNA from 1 species